rnacentral:lncRNA from 1 species
AAAAAGAAAAAUAAAAAGACGAGAUGACCAUCUCUUUUGAAAACUGAGAGAACCAUUACUUUGUUUGGUUAUUCAUGGAAUCUCUCUCUCUCUCUAUCUUCUUUUCACCACCCUCCACCUUACACAACCUUGUAACUCCUUCUUCUUCAAACCUCCAACUGAAAAUAAACUCAGACUCCCGCUCCACAUCCUCCAUUACAAC